AGUGAACGCUGGCGGUAGGCCUAACACAUGCAAGUCGAACGGCAGCACAGUAAGAGCUCGCUCUUACGGGUGGCGAGUGGCGGACGGGUGAGGAAUACAUCGGAAUCUACUUUUUCGUGGGGGAUAACGUAGGGAAACUUACGCUAAUACCGCAUACGACCUACGGGUGAAAGCAGGGGAUCUUCGGACCUUGCGCGAUUGAAUGAGCCGAUGUCGGAUUAGCUAGUUGGCGGGGUAAAGGCCCACCGAGGCGACGAUCCGUAGCUGGACUGAGAGGAUGAUCAGCCACACUGGAACUGAGACACGGUCCAGACUCCUACGGGAGGCAGCAGUGGGGAAUAUUGGACAAUGGGCGCAAGCCUGAUCCAGCCAUACCGCGUGGGUGAAGAAGGCCUUCGGGUUGUAAAGCCCUUUUGUUGGGAAAGAAAAGCAGCAGGUUAAUACCCCGCUGUUCUGACGGUACCCAAAGAAUAAGCACCGGCUAACUUCGUG
rnacentral:rRNA from 1 species